rnacentral:rRNA from 1 species
CUACGGGGGGCUGCAGUGAGGAAUAUUGCACAAUGGGGGGAACCCUGAUGCAGCAACGCCGCGUGGAGGAUGACGCAUUUCGGUGUGUAAACUCCUUUUAUAUGUCAAGAAAAUGACGGUAGCAUAUGAAUAAGCACCGGCUAACUCCGUGCCAGCAGCCGCGGUAAUACGGAGGGUGCAAGCGUCACUCGGGAUCACUGGGCGUAAAGGACGCGUAGGCGGGUUGGAAAGUCAGGUGUGAAAUCCUACAGCUUAACUGUAGAACUGCACUUGAAACUUCUAAUCUAGAGUAUGGGAGGGGGAGAUGGAAUUAGUGGUGUAGGGGUAAAAUCCGUAGAUAUCACUAGGAAUACCUAAAGCGAAGGCGAUCUCCUGGAACAUUACUGACGCUAAGGCGUGAAAGCGUGGGGAGCAAACAGGAUUAGAUACCCGGGUAGUC